CAGACGCUGUGCUCUUUACUUCUAAGCCAUACUGCCUCAUUGUGAGGUCACCCUCAAUUAAAGGCAGCUCCCCCACUCCAAGAUCUCUCUUAGAUCUCUUCUCUCUGUUCCUUAUGGAAAAGAUUCCCAGACUUCAGUCUCUUCUCCAACACUAUCUGAGUCUCCACCAUCUUCUUCUCUGCAACAUGGUGACUGCUAAGGCUGCCGGGCAAGCCCUGAACAGCCACAUGGACCAAUCUGAACUCUUCACAUACUUGUAAAUGUUAUUGAGAUAUCCCACAGGAAAGCACGAUGAGCUACAGAGAGCAUCCCCUUGAAGUGGGAGAGCAGGAAGGCAUCAUAAUGACAUUCCUGACUUUUGAGCAAUUACCUGUUAAGGAAGAUGACUGGCCUCUAUCACCCAGCCAGGUGAAAAAAAAAUAAACCUUUCAGAAUUUCAAAAAGACAUGGAUUUUAGAAAAUGAUUUUCUUUAUUGUUAAAGAUUUAUGUCCC
ensembl:lncRNA